UGGAAUUACCAGCCCUUAGGCAUCCAAGUUUAGAGGGAACUCCAGGGUCCCUAAGCAUGGCUUACCAAAGGGGGGUAGAACUUAAGAACUAGGAAUAAGUGCAAAGUGAGAGGGUAACCAUAGCAGAGGUUGGUCAUACCCAGCCAUGGCAUAGGCUGGCACACCCCUGACCGUUUGCUUAGAUCAAACAAAUAGGAGUUGACUCUAGGGAGUCAAACUUAGGGUCCAAGUAGUGAUUACCACACUACCAGACCCAAGUCAAAGCUCAACACAUAAAGGGGAGAGCAAAUGGAAAAGCAUUUGAGUCUGAUUCUGGAUCAUGGACAACAAUAUCAAAUGCUGCCAUGAUUCAGAAUUGUACUAGCACACAAAAGGGAAUGGGGGGAAUGUAUUUCCAUACAGAAGCAUAUACUAACAUUAAAAAUGUAAGAAAGCAUAGAGGACUGCAGAUGCAAGUACGUAGAAGAACAUGCUAUAGAACAUAAACACACAGUGAAGAAUGGAUAGAAGAAGAGAAGUGAAUACACAUAGUAGGAGAGUGUUGUUUAACUUAGAAGUACAUACCAGUUUUCAGUUCUAGUACAGUAGAGAAACAAUUGCAAGUAGACAGCCAGACAGUUAGCAGGAACAAUUCAAAAACUUCAGCAAGUACUUUGGGAGUUCAGAGGGACUCCAGAAAUAUUCAGACAGUAGGAGAUAAGAGAGCAGAGUGCUUUGUAGAGAGACCAUAGUAAGACCGUAGUAAUAGAUAGAGUAUAUAAAGAGAGUAGUAGCCAGUAAAGACAGAGAUUAUUGUGUAUUGCAAAGGUGAAGAAAAGAGUUCUAAGAACUGUGUUGUGUGUUGUUGUUGAAAAGGUUGUCACUUUUUAUAGUGCAAAACGAGUAAGCGAGAAGGCAAGGAAAUAAAAUUACAAUCAAUCAAAUAAAACCUCCCUUUGUCAAAGGGAUUUGAUUUCAAACGGGAAUGAGUAAUUAAGGAAAAGAGAAUAUUGAAAACCUUUUCAGAAGAGCAAAAUAAGUCAGAAAAGCAAAAUAAGGGUAAGUGCAUACAGAGUCUAUUUAGAGUAAGAAAACCUAUAGUACACGGUUUGAAAGAAUAAGGAAAAUACAGUAAUCAAACAGCCGGAAAUUCAAAAACCUUGAAUGAAUUUAGUAAGGAAAAUAGGGAAAAGGCUAAGUUGUAAAAAUCUGUAGUCACAAGCUAACAGUAUCAAUUCAAAAAGGAAAAAACCAUCGUAUAUAAGCAUGAUAAUAUCCAGCUAGAAAGAAAGAUUGGCAUAAAUAGUUUUAGAAUCAUAAGCAAAAGAAAAGCACGUUUCAGUUCAGUCUUUGAACUCAACAUGAGUUCGAGAGCCUAGGGUUUCUAGAGUAGAACCCUAGAACCAAAAGCUCGCAAACCCCUCCGCCCCCAGAUAGGGUUUCAAUCCGAGUAGGACACACAAAAAGAGAAAGCCAACUCAACAAGGUUGGGGAACUCUUUCAGAGUUCCCUGGGGAAAUACACAGACACACGUAGCAAUCAAAAUUAGUAGAGUGAAAGCUUGUAAAGAACAAGUUUAGGAAAACUAAAACUCAAACCAGUUCAGAGAAGAGAUGCCAUAUGAGUUUAUGAAAUAGUGAAAUAAGCAAGUUCGAUAACCCGAAUAGAUUCAGUAAAAGUAAACACCUUCAGUAGGAGGAAUAGUGAAAAAGACAGACAAGACGGGUGUGCUUAUAGAAAAAAUUAGUAGAAGCAGUAAUAGAACAAAGGCAGAGGAAUAUGCAUAUUUAACGGAAAAUCAUAAGGACCACGCGAAAACCACCUAAAGCAUGGUAUGAACACACAGAUUCAUACCAAUAAAGAAGAAGAAUCAUUUUAGGAUUUUUGAAAACCCUAAUUUGAAUAGACAAAUUUUGAAAAGGAAAAUUAGGAAAAGUUGUUAAAACAUAGAAUAGGUAACAGAUAUGCUAUAAAUCUAAGAAAAAAGGAAAAAAAAACCUCGAAUUAAGAUAUUUAGGGUUUUCUCAGAAACCCUAGAGACGAUAAAGCCUGGAACGAUCUAGUUUUUAGAAGAUCUGAGCCAUGGCUAGGCACAUAAGAGCUUGAACACGCCAGAACAGAGCCAGAGGAGCCGCAUGAACUCAGGUCGGCGGAGGACCUGAACAGGUCUGUUGAAACUUUAUCCGUGAAAACCUCGAAUAAUCAUGGCUUGGGGUGAAAGGGGAGAGAGUAUAGGUUGUCCAUGGCCUGGGAAGCCAUGGAUGUCUGUGGGUUUGGUCGGAGACGAUGAUAGGCGGCUAGGGUUUCGAGUGGCCUAGAGAGCAUUUGAGAGAAAAAGGGAUUUGGGGGCGGCG
rnacentral:lncRNA from 1 species